UGCAGCCAAGAGGCAACCGAAAGCACGGAGCAUCAUUUAUCAUCACUAGAGCAAUUACAGGCCCUGCCUUAUUUUUACUUCGUUACUUAUGGUACAGUCCUGCAAAAUCUUCCCUCCCUGUUGGACUCAUCCGCCUGGUCAAUAAGCAGAUCAACUGGCAUUUAGUGCUUUCAAG